AGCGAACGCUGGCGGCAGGCCUAACACAUGCAAGUCGAACGGACCCUUCGGGGUUAGUGGCGGACGGGUGAGUAACACGUGGGAACGUGCCUUUAGGUUCGGAAUAGCUCCUGGAAACGGGUGGUAAUGCCGAAUGUGCCCUUCGGGGGAAAGAUUUAUCGCCUUUAGAGCGGCCCGCGUCUGAUUAGCUAGUUGGUGGUGUAACGGACCACCAAGGCGACGAUCAGUAGCUGGUCUGAGAGGAUGAUCAGCCACAUUGGGACUGAGACACGGCCCAAACUCCUACGGGAGGCAGCAGUGGGGAAUCUUGCGCAAUGGGCGAAAGCCUGACGCAGCCAUGCCGCGUGAAUGAUGAAGGUCUUAGGAUUGUAAAAUUCUUUCACCGGGGACGAUAAUGACGGUACCCGGAGAAGAAGCCCCGGCUAACUUCGUGCCAGCAGCCGCGUAAAAC
rnacentral:rRNA from 1 species